ACGUUACGUGACAUUUUAACAAAAUAAAAGUUAACUGUAAGUAGAUUAUUUUAGAAAGUGGAGAUAUGUAAGUUUACAUUUAUGUACAUUGGUUUUCCCGUUUGAAUGGUUUCACACUAGUAAUUUUUGGGGGCCCUUUAUAGCUUGCUGUUCGGUGUGAGCCAAUGCUCCGUGUUGAAGGCCGUACCUUGACCUAUAAUGGUUUACUUUCAUAAAUUGUUACUUGGAUGGAGAGUUGUCUCAUUGGCACUCAUACCACAUCUUCCUAUAUAUAUUUUAUUUAAAAAUAUUCAAGCUAAAAUAGAGAUUGAAAUUAAUCUUUUAGAAGAAAAAUCCUGAAUGAGGUGACAGGGUUUGGAACGAUUGAUUCAACGAUAUUGCGACCUAAAAUAAUAAUGUUAAAACUUUCAACAGAUAUCCUUUUUUUGUAAGUAUAUUAUUCUUCCGUGAAAAAAGGAAAAGUGUUAUUAUAAUCGACAAUUAUUUCCUGGUAUUCACUCAACACCAUAAUAUUCAACAAUUAUAAAUAUGGUGUAUAAACAAUUAUAAAUAUGAUGUAUAAGAGAAGUAAUAAGUAAGUCGACCGAAACUGUGUAUGCACAAAUGCACUGUAUUUUACAUUUGAAGUUUCCGUAACUGUGAGUAGACUAACUUGCUAGAAGACUUGAAAUACAUAAACGACAAUGGAAAUAUAGGGGAAAUGAAUAAUGCUUCUAAAGGACCUUCAGUUACACUGUAAAAAAUGUUGAAUGUACCUCUUCUCUGAUAGAGCUGCGUUUACUUACAGAACUUCCUCCAAUGAUUUCAUGCUCCCUUGAUAGGUAUACAUUUGUACAAUCUUGUCCAGUUGGUUGCUGUGGAAACAGUUGUUGCCCUGAAGACGAAUUGUUUGGAGGUGAGUUAACAGGGAUUAUAACUGGAUCGCUUACGUUCUUGUUGUUUAUCAUAAUAACUCUGACACUAGUUUGGUAUAUAUCAGAUGCUAGGACCAGAGGUAGAUGGAAAAAUAUUUCUAUAGUGUGAUUGAAACAAGGCGACCGACGACAAAAUAGUUGAGCAUUUUCUUCCGCCAUAAUGAUGUUCACCACGAAACAAGGUGUCAGCUUAUGAUACUUGAUAAUUCUUUCAACAGUUAUAAAGUCCAAAGUGUAAAAGUGUAAUGAAAUUAAGUGUAUCAUAGCACAGCUUUGAUUGAAAAUAUCAGACAAACAUUCUGGUUAGAGGAUGAAAAUAUCAUUAAUCAAAAGUAAUUAAAUGACUAAGCAGAGAAAUAAUUUUCUUUUCAUGACUAAUAUCCUUUCAUGUACUUACUAUGUAGCACGUAAAAUUCAGAAAAAAACGAUUUACUGGAAGAUUUGCGCUUGCAAGAUUUAUGGUUAGGCGCAGGGAGAGAUAAAAAAAAAUAUAUAGACAGAAAGCAGGUUCAUUAAAACAAAUUCAAAGACAAAAGAACACAAAGUAAUCGCAGUUACUGAUAGCUAUUUCCAGGCUCAUUAUAACUAGAAAAUAAAUAAAUCAAGUUUGACUUUAAUAUCAAUCAAUACACAUCAUGCAAACAAAAGAAGUCUUAAACAGGCUGAGAGAAGCAUGUGCUUUUGCGAUGACAAAUAUAAGUACUAAGUAUUGACGGGAUGUAAGCCAAUAGGCGUUCAAAACGAUAUGAUAAUGCAUAUUAAGGUAGAUUCACUGUAUACCGCCAUCUUGGAUUGUACAAUAUCAGUACACAAUCGGUCUAUAGUUCUUUGCCUAAAUCUUCAAAUUUUGAGACAGAUUUGCAAUUUAUCUGUAAGACUGCUUAUUUGUAUAAAGAAAAAUGUGUGAUUCAUUGCAUUAUUCAAAAUUUGUAUACAAAACCAAAUAUUUAUGUUUUUACAAUCAAUUUUUCAACUGGCCAUUUAAGGGGAGAUAACUCUUAUUGCAAAAAAAAUUAUACAAGUAUAAAAAAAAUUCUAUCUGAGGAAAUAUAUACCGAUGAUCCACCUUAAGUAAUGAUUUAAUGUAUCCAAAAACAUCAAUGUUGGUAAGUAUAAUUCGUUAUUCUUAUAUAACAUAUUGAAUCAGUCAUGUUUAUCUAAAGAAUCUAUAUUUUCUAAUCACAGAAUUAUUCCAUUACAUCAUAAUGAGAUAAAACUUAUGUUUUUCUCAUCUUUUAAUACAUAAGUCACCUGAAUUUUUGUCAGACAAUACUUGUUUUGGAUAAAAUAUUAUAACUGUACGUCAUAAAUGGUAUAUCCUGUGUUUGAUUGAGAUCCUCCGCGUAAUUUAAAAUACGCGUAUUUUAAUAGCAAACAGGAUCCAUGUCAAUAAUGAUGUAAUAAAAUGUUAUUUGAUAACUGA